AAACUCGAUUUUCCUCUCGCCCUCGUGAAGGGAUAAUUUCGACGGUAGUUCCUCCUACCCCGUGGGACCAUCCCUAUAUAUGUGGUUUUGGUGGGUAGGGUGUCCGUGACCCUCCCGGCCUCCCGCCCCCGGGCGGUUCGGCGCCCGCCGGAGGAUAACCAAACUCUGAUUUAACGACGUCUCUUCUGAGUGGUACAAGCAAAUAAUCAAAACUUUUAACAACGGAUCUCUUGGUUCUGGCAUCGAUGAAGAACGCAGCGAAAUGCGAUAAGUAAUGUGAAUUGCAGAAUUCAGUGAAUCAUCGAAUCUUUGAACGCACAUUGCGCCCGCCAGCAUUCUGGCGGGCAUGCCUGUUCGAGCGUCAUUUCAACCCUCAAGCUCUGCUUGGUGUUGGGGCCCUACAGCUGAUGUAGGCCCUCAAAGGUAGUGGCGGACCCUCCCGGAGCCUCCUUUGCGUAGUAACUUUACGUCUCGCACUGGGAUCCGGAGGGACUCUUGCCGUAAAACCCCCAAUUCUCCAAAGGUGACCUCGGAUCAGGUAGGAAUACCCGCUAACUAAG
rnacentral:rRNA from 1 species